ACUAUUUUGGCAGAUAAUAUGUAUAGGGCUUAGGAUCCUAGGAAAUAGAUUAAUUCUAUAAAUAGUA
rnacentral:tRNA from 1 species